UACCUAACUUAGAAACAUAAAACAAAACAAGAAAAAUCCUUCUAGUGUGUGUCUGUGUGUGUGAAAAAAAUGGCAGAAAACAAAGAAGAAGAUGUGAAUCUUGGAGCAAACAAAUACAGAGAAACACAACCCUUAGGAACAGCAGCACAAACAGAAAAUAAAGAUUAUGUUGAACCACCAGGUUGAGGAGGUCGUGGGAACUAUAUGCAAGAUGACUAGGGAUCGAUCGACCGAGCUAGAAAAAAUUCUGGUGGACUUGUGAAUGUGUGUGGGUAGAGCAGACUUGGAAUGGUUGCCUGCACUAUUUAAUGUUAUCUUUAGAAGGAAAAGCAUGGCAGCACCAUUAUUUGAACCUGGUGAAUUAUCAUCUUGGUCAUUUUACAGAGCUGGGAUUGCUGAAUUUAUGGCCACUUUCUUGUUUUUGUAUAUUACAAUCUUGACUGUAAUGGGACUUAAGAGAUCAGAUAGUUUGUGUUCUUCUGUUGGUAUUCAAGGUGUUGCUUGGGCUUUUGGUGGUAUGAUCUUUGCUCUUGUUUACUGUACUGCUGGUAUCUCAGGUCAGUUACAUUACUCUAAAAAUAUUUCUAAUUUUUUUUAGUGUAUACUGUACUAAAGAUAUACAUUUUGUGUAUCAUAUACUAAAGAUGUAGACAAGAGGGGUUGCUCUGAUCGUAAGCAACCCCCACUUUCAACCGAGAAGUUGUGAGAGCAAGAUGGUAAGUUCUUGGAGGGAAGAUGCCGGGAGUCUAUUUGGAAACAGCCUCUCUACCCAAGGGUAGAGGUAAGGUGUGCGACAUAUACUCUCUCCAGACCCCACUAAGUGGGAUUAUACUGGUUUGUUGUUGUUGUUGUACUAAAGAUGUAAACUUUUUAGUGUAUAAUAUACUAAGGGGUCGUUUGGUUGGGAAGAAGUUAUCCAAGGAUUAAUUAUACCGGAAUUAGUUAUUUCGAGAUUAAUUAUUCCUUAUACCUCGUACAAGUUAUGCUGAGAUUAGUUAUCUUGAUAUUAUUUCGUAUUGACUAUUUGGUAUAUUAUAUUUACCUAUGAUUGUCAGUUUUACUGAUUUAUCCUAGGAUAAUUUAUACUGUGAUUAGGUUUUUUAUCCUUAGGUUUAUAUUUGCUUAUCCAUCAUACCAAACAACCCCUAAAGAUGUAAACUUUUUCGUGUAUCAUGGGUUAUUCUCUCUGUAAUUUUGUGACUUAUUUUUAUUGUUGUUCCCUUCUUUAGCUUAGUUUGCUGGUUAAUUGCCUGUGCUUCAUCCUAAUUUUGGCAAUUUAUGAAUUCUUUAAUACAAUAAGUAUUCAGUCUGUGUUUUUGGGGAGAAGAGCUUGGCGCAACUGUAAAGUUGUCUCCGUGUGACCUAUAGGUCACAAGUUCGAGCAUGGAAUAAGCCAUUAAUGCUUGCAUCAGAGUAGACUUCCUACGUCACACCCACUUGGGUGCGACUCUUCCCCGGACCCUGUGUAAACGUAGGAUGCUUUGUGCACCAAACUGUACUUCAUCUUUGUUUUUGUGUAUCAUGUACUAAAAAUGUGAAUUUUUGUGCGUAUCAUGGGUACUUCUCUAUUUAAUUUUGUGACUGAUUUUCAUUGUUCUUCUUUAGCUUAGUUUAUUUUGGUUAUUUAUGCUUCAUUCUAUUUUUGGCAAAUAAUUUAAUGGAGUUUUUUCAAUAUAUACCCAAAAGGAAAAAAAAAUCAGUUUUCAUAGUUUUUGUAUAUCAUGUAGUAAAAAAGUGAUUUGUGUGUAUCAUGGGUUAUUCUCUAUGUAAUUUUGUGACUGAUUUUCAUUGUUUUCCCUUCUUUAGUUUAGUGCAAUUUAGCUUGUUGGUUAUUUCUUAUGUUUCAUCCUAUUUUUGGCAAUUAUUUUUAUGAAUUCUUGAAUACAUACCCACACAAAAAUUUCAGCUUUCUUUGUUUUUGGAGCCACAAGUUGUUCUUGAGUCUGUUAUUUUCCAACUUCUCACCCAAAAUAUGGACUAUUUACCUUUUUUGAUUUAUAUAUUGCUUCAAGAUCCAGCCUUUCUUCAGAAGUGAUUCAAGAUUUAGUAUAGGUGGGGUUACCCCGAUGCGACCAAUAUAUCACGGGUUCUAGCGCAGAAGCAGCCACUAAUGCUUUCAUUAGGGUAGGCUGUCUACAACACACCCCCUUGGGGUGCGGCUUUUCUCCCGACCCUGCGUGAAUACUGGAUGUUUUGUACACCGAGCUACCCCUUUUCUUUCCGUCUUUUUUCGCUUUUCUUUUUAGUUUCAAGAACUGACUUUCUAUUUUUGUACUGAAACAGGAGGCCACAUUAAUCCAGCUGUGACAUUUGGUCUGUUCUUAGCAAGGAAACUUUCCUUAACCAGAGCAGUUUUCUACAUGGUAAUGCAAUGCCUUGGUGCUAUAUGUGGUGCUGGUG
rnacentral:lncRNA from 1 species